GGGCACUCAAGGAUCUGGAGGCCCUGCAUUCAAGCCACCAAAGAAGGCUUCAAUCCACCCCUAGCCCCAAUCAACGAAGUGGCUUGUGAGAUCACAUGCAAGGCAUUAGACACCAAAAAUGUGCGUGAAACGAUGAUCUCGAUCUUUCAUGAGCUGUCAAGCUACUCCUGGGUCAAUAAGGCUGUGAUUACCCUUUCAUCACUUGCUCUAUUCUAUGGCGACUUUUGGCGACUUGCUCAGAUCCAACCAUCGGACAAGCUUGCGGAAUCGCUAGCCAUACU